AUGAACGCUAGCUACAGGCUUAACACAUGCAAGUCGAGGGGCAGCAUGGUCUUAGCUUGCUAAGGCCGAUGGCGACCGGCGCACGGGUGAGUAACGCGUAUCCAACCUGCCUUACACUCUUGGACAGCCUUCUGAAAGGGAGAUUAAUACAAGAUGUUAUCAUGAGUAAGCAUUUUCGCAUGAUUAAAGGUUUACCGGUGUAAGAUGGGGAUGCGUUCCAUUAGAUAGUAGGCGGGGUAACGGCCCACCUAGUCUUCGAUGGAUAGGGGUUCUGAGAGGAAGGUCCCCCACAUUGGAACUGAGACACGGUCCAAACUCCUACGGGAGGCAGCAGUGAGGAAUAUUGGUCAAUGGACGAGAGUCUGAACCAGCCAAGUAGCGUGAAGGAUGAAGGUUCUAUGGAUUGUAAACUUCUUUUAUACGGGAAUAAACGAAUCCACGCGUGGAUUUUUGCAUGUACCGUAUGAAUAAGGAUCGGCUAACUCCGUGCCAGCAGCCGCGGUAAUACGGAGGAUCCGAGCGUUAUCCGGAUUUAUUGGGUUUAAGGGGAGCGUAGAUGGGUUGUUAAGUCAGUUGUGAAAGUUUGCGGCUCAACCGUAAAAUUGCAAUUGAUACUGGCAGUCUUGAGUACAGUUGAGGUAGGCGGAAUUCGUGGUGUAGCGGUGAAAUGCUUAGAUAUCACGAAGAACUCCGAUUGCGAAGGCAGCUUACUAACCUGUAACUGACAUUGAUGCUCGAAAGUGUGGGUAUCAAACAGGAUUAGAUACCCUGGUAGUCCACACGGUAAACGAUGAAUACUCGCUGUAGGCGAUAUACAGUCUGCGGCCAAGCGAAAGCAUUAAGUAUUCCACCUGGGGAGUACGCCGGCAACGGUGAAACUCAAAGGAAUUGACGGGGGCCCGCACAAGCGGAGGAACAUGUGGUUUAAUUCGAUGAUACGCGAGGAACCUUACCCGGGCUUAAAUUGCAACCGAAUAUGGCGGAAACGCUAUAGCUAGCAAUAGCGGUUGUGAAGGUGCUGCAUGGUUGUCGUCAGCUCGUGCCGUGAGGUGUCGGCUUAAGUGCCAUAACGAGCGCAACCCUUGCCGAUAGUUACUAACAGGUCAUGCUGAGGACUCUGUCGGGACUGCCAUCGUAAGAUGUGAGGAAGGUGGGGAUGACGUCAAAUCAGCACGGCCCUUACGUCCGGGGCUACACACGUGUUACAAUGGGGGGUACAGAGGGCUGCUACCACGCAAGUGGAUGCCAAUCCCAAAAACCUCUCUCAGUUCGGAUUGAAGUCUGCAACCCGACUUCAUGAAGCUGGAUUCGCUAGUAAUCGCGCAUCAGCCACGGCGCGGUGAAUACGUUCCCGGGCCUUGUACACACCGCCCGUCAAGCCAUGGGAGCCGGGGGUACCUGAAGUGCGUAACCGCAAGGAGCGCCCUAGGGUAAAACUGGUGACUGGGGCU
rnacentral:rRNA from 1 species